UACGGAGGGGACUAGCGUUGUUCGGAAUUACUGGGCGUAAAGCGCGCGUAGGCGGAUUUGCAAGUCGGGGGUGAAAGCCCGAGGCUCAACCUCGGAACUGCCCUCGAUACUGCAAAUCUCGAGUCCGAGAGAGGUGAGUGGAAUUCCUAGUGUAGAGGUGAAAUUCGUAGAUAUGGGGAGGAACACCGGUGGCGAAGGCGGCCACCUGGACGGUAACUGACGCUGAGACGCGAAAGCGUGGGGAGCAAACAGG
rnacentral:rRNA from 1 species